rnacentral:rRNA from 1 species
UGAACGCUGGCGGCGUGCCUAAUACAUGCACGUCGAGCGAACAGACGAGGAGCUUGCUCCUCUGACGUUAGCGGCGGACGGGUGAGUAACACGUGGAUAACCUACCUAUAAGACUGGGAUAACUUCGGGAAACCGGAGCUAAUACCGGAUAAUAUAUUGAACCGCAUGGUUCAAUAGUGAAAGACGGUUUUGCUGUCACUUAUAGAUGGAUCCGCGCCGCAUUAGCUAAUUGGUAAGGUAACGGCUUACCAAGGCAACGAUGCGUAGCCGACCUGAGAGGGUGAUCGGCCACACUGGAACUGAGACACGGUCCAGACUCCUACGGGAGGCAGCAGUAGGGAAUCUUCCGCAAUGGGCGAAAGCCUGACGGAGCAACGCCGCGUGAGUGAUGAAGGUCUUCGGAUCGUAAAACUCUGUUAUUAGGGAAGAACAAAUGUGUAAGUAACUAUGCACGUCUUGACGGUACCUAAUCAGAAAGCCACGGCUAACUACGUG